UGGCAAACGGCCGGUCUAAACAUGCAAGUCGAGGGAGGAGCUUUCGGGCUUCGACCGGCGUACGGGUGCGUAACGCGUAUACAAUCUGCCUUUCACAUAGGGAUAGCCCGAAGAAAUUUGGAUUAAUACCUAAUGGUAUAUAGGGAUGGCAUCAUUUUUAUAUUAAAGCUGAGGCGGUGAAAGAUGAGUAUGCGUUCUAUUAGCUAGUUGGAGAGGUAACGGCUCCCCAAGGCGACGAUAGAUAGGGGUUCUGAGAGGGAUAUCCCCCACACUGGUACUGAGAUACGGACCAGACUCCUACGGGAGGCAGCAGUGAGGAAUGUUGGACAAUGGUCGGAAGACUGAUCCAGCCAUGCCGCGUGCAGGAAGACGGCCUUAUGGGUUGUAAACUGCUUUUGCAGGGGAAGAAUAAGGACUACGCGUAGUUUGAUGACGGUACUCUGCGAAUAAGCAUCGGCUAACUCCGUGCCAGCAGCCGCGGUAAUACGGAGGAUGCGAGCGUUAUCCGGAAUCAUUGGGUUUAAAGGGUCCGUAGGCGGGCUAAUAAGUCAGAGGUGAAAGCGCUCAGCUCAACUGAGCAACUGCCUUUGAAACUGUUAGUCUUGAAUGGUUGUGAGGUAGUUGGAAUGUG
rnacentral:rRNA from 1 species